rnacentral:rRNA from 1 species
CCUACGGGAGGCUGCAGUGGGGAAUUUUCCGCAAUGGGCGAAAGCCUGACGGAGCAAUACCGCGUGAGGGAGGAAGGCCCUUGGGUUGUAAACCUCUUUUCUCAGGGAAGAAGAUCUGACGGUACCUGAGGAAUCAGCAUCGGCUAACUCCGUGCCAGCAGCCGCGGUAAUACGGAGGAUGCAAGCGUUAUCCGGAAUGAUUGGGCGUAAAGCGUCCGCAGGUGGCAAUUCAAGUCUGCUGUCAAAGGUCGGGGCUCAACUUCGAACAGGCAGUGGAAACUGAACAGCUAGAGUGCGGUAGGGGUAGAGGGAAUUCCCGGUGUAGCGGUGAAAUGCGUAGAGAUCGGGAAGAACACCAGUGGCGAAAGCGCUCUACUAGACCUGUACUGACACUGAGGGACGAAAGCUAGGGGAGCGAAUGGGAUUAGAUACCCCAGUAG